rnacentral:rRNA from 2 species
GGGGACUUGAGUACUGGAGAGGAGAGUGGAAUUCCAUGUGUAGCGGUGAAAUGCAUAGAUAUAUGGAGGAACACCAGUGGCGAAGGCGGCUCUCUGGCCAGUAACUGACGCUGAGGCGCGAAAGCGUGGGGAGCAAACAGGAUUAGAUACCCUGGUAGUCCACGCCGUAAACGAUGAGUGCUAGGUGUUGGGGGGUUCCACCCUCAGUGCUGACGUUAACACAUUAAGCACUCCGCCUGGGGAGUACGACCGCAAGGUUGAAACUCAAAGGAAUUGACGGGGGCCCGCACAAGCAGUGGAGCAUGUGGUUUAAUUCGAAGCAACGCGAAGAACCUUACCAGGUCUUGACAUCCUUCGCUACUUCUAGAGAUAGAAGGUUCCCCUUCGGGGGACGAAGUGACAGGUGGUGCAUGGUUGUCGUCAGCUCGUGUCGUGAGAUGUUGGGUUAAGUCCCGCAACGAGCGCAACCCUUGAUCUUAGUUGCCAGCAUUCAGUUGGGCACUCUAAGGUGACUGCCGGUGACAAACCGGAGGAAGGUGGGGACGACGUCAAAUCAUCAUGCCCCUUAUGACCUGGGCUACACACGUGCUACAAUGGAUGGUACAAAGGGCAGCAAAACCGCGAGGUUGAGCGAAUCCCAUAAAGCCAUUCUCAGUUCGGAUUGCAGGCUGCAACUCGCCUGCAUGAAGCCGGAAUUGCUAGUAAUCGCGGAUCAGCAU